CUGCCACACAGUGCUUUUAUUUUUAUUCAACUAUAAACAAACAGCAGAAUUAACACAACACUCAGCAAUUCCAGACUGGCUUUUGUUACACCAAUGAAGAGUGGUCAGUUUAAUAGACACAGACUCACGGAUCUGUGAUAACCUCUCACACAGCCCUGCUGUUCAUCUAGACAGUUGUGCCCCAACAGGGAAGUGAUACUCCCUGUUGCUCUUUCCAGUACUGCUCUCUAAAUGAGCUGGAGCAGAACACGGACACCUAAUAACCAACCCGAGGUGUGCAUACACUGGG